GAUUAACGCUGGCGGCGUGCUUAACACAUGCAAGUCGAACGGAAAGGCCCUGCUUUUGUGGGGUGCUCGAGUGGCGAACGGGUGAGUAACACGUGAGUAACCUGCCCUUGACUUUGGGAUAACUUCAGGAAACUGGGGCUAAUACCGGAUAGGAGCUCCUGCUGCAUGGUGGGGGUUGGAAAGUUUCGGCGGUUGGGGAUGGACUCGCGGCUUAUCAGCUUGUUGGUGGGGUAGUGGCUUACCAAGGCUUUGACGGGUAGCCGGCCUGAGAGGGUGACCGGCCACAUUGGGACUGAGAUACGGCCCAGACUCCUACGGGAGGCAGCAGUGGGGAAUAUUGCACAAUGGGCGGAAGCCUGAUGCAGCAACGCCGCGUGCGGGAUGACGGCCUUCGGGUUGUAAACCGCUUUCGCCUGUGACGAAGCGUGAGUGACGGUAAUGGGUAAAGAAGCACCGGCUAACUACGUG
rnacentral:rRNA from 1 species